rnacentral:lncRNA from 1 species
GUCCCCGGCGUCCGGGCGCCCUGCAUGGAUCCCCCACCCCAGCUCCUGCUCCCCGGCGGCGGCCGGUGGGCAGAAAGACCGAAACCCACUCACGGCCGCCUGCCGAAUCGCGGCUCUGCUGUUUGUGGGGCGUGCUAGAAACGUGGUCCUAAAAAGAAUGGCGUCCAUUUACAUAAUGCUUUGUUUGCGUUUCGCAAGUUUCUUUCGGUUAAAGCCACAGAAACCCCACCUCCUGCCCUUGUGUCGUUUCCACCGCGGCACCCUUUUCCGACAUUAGAAACAAUAGUGUACGCCUGUGGAGGCCUCGUUUGUUCAGGGGCUGCCGGCCAGGGCUUCAGGACGUUUCUGCGGCUUUCCCCGCGCGGCCUGGGCUCCCGCGGCUGCUUUUCGGGCCCAUGGGCGCAGCCACUGCGCCAGGCUCAAGGGGGGCGGCCCCGUCAGGGCCCGCCAUCUUGGAAGGCCUUUUUUGCCGGUUCUUCCCGCUGAGGAAGUGUCGCUCAAGACGCUGGCCUAUGAGUUGUGAUUUCUGCCUUUUCCCCUUCCUCCUUGGGCUAAGCCAGACCAGAAAGGGCCCCGUGCGCAACGUGCUUCACAAUCUCUCAGGGAAAGCGGCUAACGUGGCGCUACUCCGCCUCCCCUGUUCCUUACCCUUGGGGCGGCCGCCAUGUUUCCUGAACACAAAAUGGCGACACGUGGUUAGCAUUCGUCGCCAACGAGAAAUUGGGGUCGGCCCGAAAGCUCUAGAAUGCACCCCUCUUCCUCCCCGGGGCCUUCCACCUCCGCGAGUUUUAUGACUUAAAAAAGCCCACAGGCUGGUCUGAAGGUCGGAGGCCUAAUUUUAACGCGUUUUCCUCCCUUUAAUUUGAAACGGGAACGCGAAUGACUGUAAAAUGUGGGCACAAUAUUUAAUCUCUCGCCUUUUUAAAGCUUAAUAGUGGAUAAUAGGGGGGCAGUAUCAAGGGAUAAUUUGGGUCCCCACAGUACCAAAGCAUUUAGAAACCUCUGUUUAAUUUAAGGAAUGAGAUAAGUUACUGCUUUUCUAGACUUCCUAGCAUGGGCUGUUGUGCUGGAGAGAACGAGAGCUACGAAGAGACUACAGUGCCUCUGACUUUUUCAUAGGACAGUUGGCCGGUGAAUCUUAUUAAUAGUUUACCACAAUUAAGUGUUCAUUUUUAGUCUAGAAGGGACAGGCGUUUAUUGUGCAUUGGCCAGUGCCAGCACAUCCGAUGCAAGGCAGUUCACCGUAUUCUAUCUUUAAUUUUUACCAUGGUCCUCUGAGGUAGGUGUUCUUAUCUCUCUCUCUCUCUCUCUCUUUUAAACAGAGGAAGACAAACAUAAAGAUGAAGUGCUUAAUUCAAGGUCACACAAUGUCGGGGAUGGACCUCCAGAUUUCCUUACUGGUGAGACGUGGUCUUGUAACACAGUGGUUAAGAAUGUGACUUUGGAGCCAGCCUGCUAGGGGCUGAAUUCUGACUCAGCCAUUUACUAACUGUGUGACCUUAGGUAAGUCAUUUACCUUCUUUGUCCCUCAGUUUCAUCUCGGUUAAGUAGGGAUAAUGAUAGCACCUAUUUUAUAGGGUUAUUGUGAGGAAUAAAUCCAAGUAAAAUGCUUAGAAUAGUAACUGAAACAUAGCACUCAUUAGGAAUGCUUUAAUUUUCAUUUAUUUGAGUAUUAAAGGUUGAAUUUUCAGAGGUAUUUUGGACCUUUGUAUUUUUUCUUUAAAUCACUUAUUCAUGACUUUUGAACUUUUUUUUUUCUUUUAGAGACAGGGUCUUGGUUUGUUGUCUAGGCUGGAAUGCAGUGGUGCAAUCAUAGCUCACUGUAGCCUUGAACUCUUGGGCUCAAGAGAUCCUCCUGCCUCAGCCUCGUGAGUAGCUGGGCCUACAGGCGCCUGCUACCACACCUGGCUAAUUUUUUAUUUUUUGUAGAGAUGGGUUCUUGCAGCCCAGACUGGUCUUGAGCUUUGGCCUGAAGUGCUCCUCCUGCCUUGGCCUCUCAAAGCAUUGGGGUUACAGGUGUGAAGCACUGCACCUUGCCUACACAUUUUUUCCAAUAAUUUUUUUUAUUAAUUUGUAAGAGUUAACAUGUCGACUAUCAUAUAUAACAUAGAAUUGUUCCCAUUUUGUCAUUUCCUUUCAACUUUGUCUAUGUAGCUUUUUUUCUGUGUGCAAAUUUUACAUUUUUAGGUAGUCAGAAAAUCUCUUCCCUUGUAAUUUUUUCUGCUACUAGACCAAUGUUUAGAAAAAAGCGUGCUUCCCCACCUCAAAAUUAUAAAAAUAGUUACUUGUUCUUUUUGAGUACUGUGUGUGUUUAAAUCUUUAAUCUUUAAAUUUAAAUCUUUGAUCCAUCUGGUAUUUAUUUUGAUAUGAAGAGAGUGGUUGGGAUCUGGCUGUAUUUCUUUUUUCUUUUUUUUUCUUUUUUCUUUUUUUGACGAAGUCUCACUGUUGCUCAGGCUGGAGUGCAAUGGCAUGAUCUCGGCUCAUCACAACCUCUGCUUCCUGGGUUCAAGCGAUUCUCCUGCCUCAGCCUCCCGAGUACCUGGGACUACAGGCACUCGCCACCAUGCCCGGCUGAUUUUUGUAUUUUUAAUAGAGAUGGUUUCACUAUGUUGGCCAGGCUGGUCUCGAACUCCUGACCUUGUGAUCUGCCCACCUCAGCCUCGAAAAGUGCUGGGAUUACAGGCGUGAGCCACUGCGCCCAGCCUUGUAUUUUUUUUCAGUUUGGGUAGCUGUCCCUAAUUCAUUUGUUAAAGGAGAAGCAAGAGCAAGAACCUUUAAUCUGUUCUCCUCUUCCCUAAUUUGAAAGUAGCUUGUUAUUUUGAAUAUCACUUUCUCUGAAAUAGCACAUCUCCAUCUCAGAGAAUGGAUUUAAUGUUUGGAUACAGCCAAAAGUCAUUUCAUUACCAAACCAUGGGGUGAAUAUACCAUGUAAAGCAGUUUGGGAUCAGAACUCACAGUCUGAAUUGUAAGUGAUGAGACUGCUGUCUCUCUGCUACAGCUUCUUGGCUGGCUCUGAAGGCUCUUUGAAGGCAGAUCCUAACAAGGGGACUGCUUUGAAGGGCCAUUGUUCAUUUGGAAUGAUAAAGUCUAUGUUGUUCAAAAAACAAAUGCUUGUAGCAGGUAUUUUUUCACUCCAGACUGAGAAUAUUGGUGGGAUAUUGAUAAGGGGUACUGAAUGGUAAUAAACAUGUGCUCUAGCUCUGUGCUAGUCAGCUUAUUUCAGAACUCUAGUUUGAUUCAGUUUCUUGCCUCUGACUCAAAAUGGAGGGAGAGUGAUUUUUACAUAAGAGAACACACCCACAUAUCCUUUUGGCAGCAGCUACCUGCCAGAGAUGUUGAAGAAGAGUAGCCAACCUUUACACAGCAGAUAUUGUGUGCCAGUCAUAGUCCUAAGUAUAAUACCUUACAUGUAUAAACUUCUUAUAAGGUUGGUGCUCUGUACCGAAUUGAAUAGUAUCCCCCAAAAUUCAUGUUGUCCCAGAACCUAUGAAAGUGAUCUUACUUGAGGGAGGGGGGAGGGGGGAGGGAUAGCAUUAGGAGAUAUACCUAAUGCUAAAUGACGAGUUAAUGGGUGUAGCACACCAGCAUGGCACAUGUAUACAUAUGUAACUAACCUGCACAUUGUGCACAUGUACCCUAAAACUUAAAGUAUAAUAAUAAUAAAAUAAAAAAAAAAAAGAAAGUGAUCUUACUUGGAAAUAAGGUCUUUGCACAUAUGAUCAAGUUGAGAUGAAGUUGUACUGGAAAGUCUGUCUAGUGACUGGUGUUGUCAUAAGAAGAGAGGGACACAGAGGGAAGAUGGCCACAUGAAGAUGGAGGCAGAGAUUGCAGUUAUGCUGCUGCAAACUAAGGAAUGGCUCUGGCCCUCCAAGGAUUGCUGAUAACCACCAGAAACUAGAAGAGACAAGGAAGGAUUCUUCCCUAGAGCCUUCAGAGGGAGCAUGGCCCUACUGACACCUGGAUUUCAAACUUGUAGCUUCCUAAACUGCAAGAGAAUAAAUUUCUGUUGUUUUAAGCCA